rnacentral:lncRNA from 1 species
CCCCUGACUCAGGACCCUCCCUGCAGGCACGGGAUCCACGUUGUCAGCUGGUCCUGCCCGUGGAUGGGGCUGACACAGAAGCAGAGAAUUCCGCGGCGACUACGUGAGGGCCACUACUGAAGGAUGAUUCAUGUGAUUCUCAAACCUCCCAAAGGACCUGAGCUCAUAGGGACACUCCUGGACCAGGCAGCCUCAAGACAUGCGGCAUCUCACACAGGCAGAGCCGCAGUAGACCAAUGGCUACACGAAGACUCAGAAGCAUCUGAAGAUGAAUGAGGGCGAGAUGAACUCACUCUAUUAAUAUUAUUUAAUGGCACAAAGUAAAGGGACUGUGUAGGUGCCCGGAAGGUAAUAAGCAUUUUACGUCAAUCUGGUCCUGUGUACACCAAUUCAACCCUCACAACAACCCUGUGAGGAAGGGCCUGUUACUAGUUUCACUUACGGAGGAGGAAAACUGAGAGGUUAGAAAUGUGGCUGGCUCACAGAGCUAGAAAGCAGCAGGACGCAGCCCCGGGCAGCUGGCUGCAGACCCUCAGCUCCACUGCAGCUCCGCUUUGCCGGCUGCAUUAGAAGUGCACACGGAUAAUGAAAAUACCUGCCAGAUGGGGUCCCGAGUGCUUUACCAAUUCUCUCAUGAAAUCCCCGUUCAACUCCAUGAGGGAAUCCCCAUCCAACCCUGCAGGAAACACCAGAUACACCUAGACUGGGGACAUUCUACAGGACACCUGGCCAUACUCAAGGCUGUCAAGGUCACAGGAAAUAGGAUGGAGACACUGUCACAGAGCAGAGGAGGCCAGGAGACAAGACAACGAAACGCAACAUGGUUUCCUGGAUUGGAUCCUGGGACACAAAGAGGCCCCCAAUGAAAAAAUGGGGAAAUUAAAACACCACCUGUAACAUGUAACAAUGGGCUUGCUCUGCUGGCCACAAUCUGAGCCAAUUAAUCACAACAAGUUAGAGAUCGAGAAAGGAAAUUUAAUUAGAUUAGCCAGCUAAUGGGAAGAUGGCAGACUAAUGUCUCAAAAAACACAUCUUCAAAAAUGACAGAAUCUUGAGGCAGUUAUAUAGGGAAACGGGCUAUGAGGAAGGGUCCAGGGAUGCUGGUCUCCAGGCGUCCCAUUGUUCCAUUCUUCUGUCAGCUGUGAUAGACUCCUUGUAGGUGUAUUUCUCACCUGUGGUCAGCCUUUUCCUGGAGAGAAACUCAUAGAACAAAGUUGUAAUUGAUCAGGGUGUUGGGGAGGACAUACGCAAGCGGAGGCCACAAAUCAGGAGAGCACGUGAAUUUUUUCGAGUACAUGCAGAGCAGAGAGUAGUCACACAGAGGAGGAGCUGGGCCAUUUAGUGUAACAAGACAGGCUCACAUGCUCACUUACAGAGCCACUUCACGUGAACUGUGGCUGUCAAUCAGGAAACCAGUAACUUCAUACUCAAAGGAACUAUUCCUAACACGUCUUCAAGUUAUAUCUGCUCACUUACUAAUGGGGCGGAGAUUCUUCACUGCUUUUCCUGCUGCAGGAGUCAGUACAGCGAUGGUACAGCGAGCUGGAGGCCCUUCUGUCCCGUACGUCAUAAGCUUCAAUCGUCAAAUAAAACAUAUUGUCUUCAUUUGUUACUGAAGCAAGCAGAAAAUGUGAAACUUCAUUUCCAAGUUCCAGGACGACUUUACAGAAUAUGCUAUUGAAACACAAUCUCUUAACUUCGUUAGCCUAGUGUCUUGAGAGGGAAAAUUCUUCGUCAUUCCACACUGCUUUUUAAACUCAAGGUGCCCUGGGGCCUUACAGACUUCAGCCUUUUUUUUCUUAAACACAUUUGUGUUCCUUCCUCUAUUAAAUUAUUUGUAUGCAAAAUGAGACUUAUAGAAAGUAACUUCUUUUGCUUUUCAGAUUCUAAUUUCUAAGGAAACUGAAGAGAACUGUGCUUUUUUCACUUAACAAAGUUGUUAGUGCUGUCUCUUUGCAGUUGACCUUAAGGAAGACCUCAUGUUUACCUUCUCCAGCCACCAGGGGAGAUGAGCCACAGUUACGUUCUUGGUCAAGAGACCUGCAAGGUUAAGUGUGGUCAUUUGAGGCAAAAAUUUUUGACCUUCUCUCCCUCAGGUCUGAGGGCUCGCCCCAGUGCUGGGCCCACAAAGACGUCUUCCAUUUGGAAGCUCCCCUGGGCUGGACCGUGGUGACUGCAGCUGCUGCUCUCCGGCCCCCAGUGUGAAAAGAAAAAAUGCUCAUUAUGGAAAAUUUGCUCCCAUGCUGAAGACAGAAAGAACUCUGCGUUUGCUCAACAAAGGGGGUCUUUCUAAGGAAAGACUCUUAAAAAAUCCAGACAAAGGAAAUCCCUCCUCCGUGUGAAGAGAUUUGUGAUUCUGGAUACGUGCCUGAUUGUUCCGUAAACCAUAGGUCUGUUGCUGAAAAGAAAAAAAGUCAACCUGUCACACGCAACCCAGACCACCAGGGCCACAGCCCGGCAGAGGCCACAACGCGGGCCAUGCGGAGUGCAAGGUGUCCGCGUCCUCGCCCCACGUCUGCCCCCUGCCUGGAGAGCAGGCCCACAAAGCUGUGGUGGGCGCUGAUUCUGCACUCAACAGUGAUCUGCAUCCUGAUCCAGGUCCACCGAUGACAGUAUCUGUGAGCAAGUUUCAGAAUUUCUGCUGCCUUGACUGUCACCGCAUAUGCACACUGUAAAGAUGCUCCGAAGAAAUAGGGCUGUGCUAACGAGGACAGCUGUUUAAUCUUUUUGUUAACCUUCCAUUCUGGAAUGUUGUUUGCUGCAGAGGAGUGGGACCGAUUUGCAUGUCCUCAGCUAUGUCAGAGCUGGGUUUGCAGAUGGAAAGCUGUAAGAAUGUGACCUAGAAUGGCCAGCAGUCACAACCUCCGCUGGAUGCGUGGACAAGAUCCCCUUCCAUGAAGGUCUCGCCCCAGCUGCUGGCAGCGUUGUUGGCACACAGCUUUUGGCAGUCAGUCUUCAGGGCCGGCCUCAGCUGCAGAGAGCCUACUCACCCGGCAGACCACAUCCAAAGACCGGUUGGUGCAGGAGCCAGGCCAUGCCGGUCCAGCGUGGGGCAACUCUGAAGGACCCUCUAACCCCACAGUUUCUUGUGGGGUCCGCCUAGGCUGGCACUGGGCCUGCAUCACAGCUCGACUUUCCUUCUGACUGAUCCUGCAUCCUGCUUUCCUUCCACAGGCGUGAACCCUGGGGGCACUCCUCAAUAAAGUGUCACGCUCUGAGCAUUGAACUCCAUCUCAGGGUCUUCAUUCCAGCCCGCAACACCCACCACACAGGAAACUUGGAAGAAUGAAGUCAUCGUGCAAAGAGAAUCUGAACUAGAGAAGGAGAGACAAGCAGUGAGAGAAGUGGUUGGAUGCCAUCACCCAGGGGCCCGUUCCAGUCUUGGCAUCCUCUGGCUACACUGUGUGGGCCAGCUUGUCCACACUUUAGAUGUUUUGUUUUAAAGCUGGUUUGAGCUGGCUUUCUGAUAUUUGGAGCAGACAGAGUCCUGACUAAUGCAGAGACCAGCUAAACAAACUGCAUGGGUUGCUUUUUUAAAAUUGAUUAAAA